AUACAGAGGGUGCAAGCGUUAUUCGGAAUUACUGGGCGUAAAGCGCGCGUAGGCGGAUGAUUAAGUCAGUUGUGAAAGCCCUGGGCUCAACCUAGGAACUGCAUCUGAUACUGGUCGUCUAGAGUUUAAGAGAGGGAAGUGGAAUUCCAGGUGUAGCAGUGAAAUGCGUAGAUAUCUGGAGGAACAUCAGUGGCGAAGGAGACUUCCUGGCUUAAAACUGACGCUGAGGUGCGAAAGCGUGGGUAGCGAACGGGAUUAGAAACCCCUGUAGUCC
rnacentral:rRNA from 1 species